rnacentral:misc_RNA from 1 species
AACACCUCAACUUCCAUAUCUUUUUUGAAAUGGGAGCUGGACUUGAGUGAUCCCAACGCUUUUCCUCACCGAAAAGUGGCGGGUUACUUGAAAUGCAGGUGCAGCUGGACUUUUCUCUGAGCUAUAAGCAUAUCUAUUUAGUCUGCCUAAAAAACAGAUUAUUACCUUUGCUGCAGCUAACAUAAAGGAGAUUAGUUCUUGUGCUGACUGAUGCAGGAUUCACAAAGACGGUUUCGGCCGACUUUGUAAAC